rnacentral:rRNA from 1 species
GCCCAGACUCCUACGGGAGGCAGCAGUGGGGAAUAUUGCACAAUGGGGGAAACCCUGAUGCAGCAACGCCGCGUGGGUGAAGGAGCGUUUCGGCGCGUAAAGCCCUGUCAGCGGGGAAGAAGAAAGACGGUACCCGACCAAGAAGCCCCGGCUAACUACGUGCCAGCAGCCGCGGUAAUACGUAGGGGGCGAGCGUUAUCCGGAAUUACUGGGUGUAAAGGGAGCGUAGACGGCGAGGUAAGCCUGAAGUGGAAGCCCGCGGCCCAACCGCGGAACUGCUUUGGGAACUGUUUUGCUGGAGUAUGGGAGGGGUAAGCGGAAUUCCUGGUGUAGCGGUGAAAUGCGUAGAUAUCAGGAGGAACACCGGCGGCGAAGGCGGCCUGCUGGACCGUGACUGACGUUGAGGCUCGAGGGCGUGGGGAGCAAACAGGAUUAGAUACCCGUGUAG